AUGCGGGUAUUCGGCGCUUGGGUUCUGGUCGGGAUGUUCAUUCUCGAUCUGAGUGAUGGUAAUUCCGUCACUCAGCCCCAGUCUUCAGAAAGCAAGGCAGAGUACGAAACGGUGACUAUAAGAUGUACAUAUAGUACGACAGAAGAGUCCUACUAUUUAUAUUGGUACCGGCAACAACCAAAUAAACAGCUCCAGUUUAUUGUGUGGAGAUGGUCUUCGAAUGCAGACCAAAGGAAAGGAGAUGCUUUUGGAGACCGUUUCUCUGCAGAACUCAAAACUGGGUCAAAACUCACCAGUUUAAUCAUUUCGAGGCUGCAGCUGACUGACGCAGCCGUGUAUUACAUCAUGGUAACACCAUCGAAAGUCGAGAGCGGUGGUUAG